GACGAACGCUGGCGGCGGGCUUAACACAUGCAAGUCGAACGGAAAGGCCCUGCUUUUGUGGGGUGCUCGAGUGGCGAACGGGUGAGUAACACGUGAGUAACCUGCCCUUGACGUUGGGAUAACUUCAGGAAACUGGGGCUAAUACCGGAUAGGAGCUCCUGCUGCAUGGUGGGGGUUGGAAAGUUUCGGCGGUUGGGGAUGGACUCGCGGCUUAUCAGCUUGUUGGUGGGGUAGUGGCUUACCAAGGCUUUGACGGGUAGCCGGCCUGAGAGGGUGAGCGGACACACUGGGACGGAGAUACGGCACAGACUCCUACGGGAGGCAGCGGUGGGGAAUAUUGCACAAGGGGCGGAAGCCUGAUGUAGCAACGCCGCGUGCGGGAUGACGGCCUUCGGGUUGUAUACCGCUGUCGCCUGUGACGAGGCGUGAGUGACGGUAACGGGUAAAGAAGCACCGGCUAACUACGUG
rnacentral:rRNA from 1 species